UACGUAGGUGGCUAGCGUUGUCCGGAUUUACUGGGCGUAAAGAGCGCGCAGGCGGUCGUUCAAGUCGAGUGUGAAAGCCCCCGGCUCAACUGGGGAGGGUCACUCGAUACUGAUCGACUCGAAGGCAGGAGAGGGAAGCGGAAUUCCCGGUGUAGUGGUGAAAUGCGUAGAGAUCGGGAGGAACACCCGUAGCGAAGGCGGCCACCUGGGCCGACCCUGACGCUGACGGC
rnacentral:rRNA from 1 species